AAAUAUCAAGAAGAACCAGAUCCAUUGUAACUUUAAGACCCCCAAUAUAAAGUACACAAGCAUGACAUACCCACUUGGUUUCCACCUUACCACCCAUAGGAGUCUCAACACAUAAUGAACAAUGUAGGGGAACAAAUUCUAUGUCUAGCAUGGAGGCAAAUGAUGCAGAAAUAAAAGAGUGGGUAGCUCCUAGAUCAAAUAAAACAUGUGCCCAAGUGCUAAA
rnacentral:lncRNA from 1 species